UAACUAGAGGCUCUAAAGAGCCUGUGUCGCUCACCUUGGUCUAUGAAAUUAAAAAAGGAAGCAGAUGGAUUCAUGACAAAAUUGUGUUUUGGUGAUGGUGAUGUGUUUGUACAUCUUACUUUACUGAACAUUCUUGCUGCUAACAAUUAUCUCUAUCUAUAAUGAACUUGGCCCAGUAGUUUCAGUGGAAAUGUUAGUUAAAAUUUACAAAUUUU
rnacentral:lncRNA from 1 species